rnacentral:rRNA from 1 species
GAUGAACGCUGGCGGCGUGCCUAAUACAUGCAAGUCGAGCGAACAGACGAGGAGCUUGCUCCUCUGACGUUAGCGGCGGACGGGUGAGUAACACGUGGAUAACCUACCUAUAAGACUGGGAUAACUUCGGGAAACCGGAGCUAAUACCGGAUAAUAUAUUGAACCGCAUGGUUCAAUAGUGAAAGACGGUUUUGCUGUCACUUAUAGAUGGAUCCGCGCCGCAUUAGCUAGUUGGUAAGGUAACGGCUUACCAAGGCAACGAUGCGUAGCCGACCUGAGAGGGUGAUCGGCCACACUGGAACUGAGACACGGUCCAGACUCCUACGGGAGGCAGCAGUAGGGAAUCUUCCGCAAGGGGCGAAAGUCGGACGGAGCAACGCCGCGUGAGUGAUGGAGGUCUUCGGAUCGUAAAACUCUGUUAUUAGGGAAGAACAAAUGUGUAAGUAACUAGGCACGUCUUGACGGUACCUAAUCAGAAAGCCACGGCAAACUACGU